CCUACGGGAGGCAGCAGUAGGGAAUCUUCCGCAAUGGACGAAAGUCUGACGGAGCAACGCCGCGUGAACGAUGAAGGUCUUCGGAUCGUAAAGUUCUGUUGUUAGGGAAGAACAAGUACCGUGCGAAUAGAGCGGUACCUUGACGGUACCUAACGAGGAAGCCCCGGCUAACUACGUGCCAGCAGCCGCGGUAAUACGUAGGGGGCAAGCGUUGUCCGGAAUUAUUGGGCGUAAAGCGCGCGCAGGCGGUUCCUUAAGUCUGAUGUGAAAGGCCACGGCUCAACCGUGGAGGGCCAUUGGAAACUGGGGAACUUGAGGACAGAAGAGGAGAGUGGAAUUCCACGUGUAGCGGUGAAAUGCGUAGAUAUGUGGAGGAACACCAGUGGCGAAGGCGACUCUCUGGUCUGUUUCUGACGCUGAGGUGCGAAAGCGUGGGUAGCAAACAGGAUUAGAUACCCUGGUAGUCCACGCCGUAAACGAUGAGUGCUAGGUGUUAGGGGGCUUCCACCCCUUAGUGCUGAAGUUAACGC
rnacentral:rRNA from 1 species